CCUGUUAUAUAGAAUGAUCUGGAUUGCUUGGUAAACUGGGCACAAGUAAACAAUGUGCAUUUAAAUACAAUUAAAUGUAAACAUAUGCCUCCGGGAACAAAG